AGUGACUGGAUGGCGAUGACGAUAUUGCUCGUCCCGAUUCGGAGCUUGUGUUGAAGAAGGAGCUUAGCUGGGCUGCGCAUCUCUCAGUACAGGUAUUUGGCUGUGCAAACUAUGCGAGCUGCGUCAAUCAGGUUCUCCAAGGCCUGGGGAGCAGGAUGGUUUUGGAUCCUAAGAGGUUUGUUUCAGCUAUGGCUUAGAUUGCCAUUGCAAUUUGAGGAGGAAGAGCUGAAGAUGCUACAUAUCUGGUAAACAUUGGUUUUGUUCGUGUUUCUUCAAUCUGUGAUUGCUUCGGGAGAGUCAGUAAACCGGUUUGUGAUUCAAUGGGGAAUGGUGGCAUAUGUUUUGUACCCUUUGCGAGUAUCAUAAGAUUGUCUUUACAGUC